AACGCUAGCUACAGGCUUAACACAUGCAAGUCGAGGGGCAGCGGAGAGGAAAGCUUGCUUUCCUCUGCCGGCGACCGGCGCACGGGUGAGUAACACGUAUGCAACCUGCCUCUGUCCGGGGGAUAAUCGGAGGAAACCCCGUCUAAUACCGCGUAAAUCGCCGUGGGGCAUCCCGGGGCGAGGAAAGGUCGCAAGACCGGACAGAGAUGGGCAUGCGGCGCAUUAGGUAGUUGGGGGUGUAACGGACCACCAAGCCGACGAUGCGUAGGGGUUCUGAGAGGAAGGUCCCCCACACUGGUACUGAGACACGGACCAGACUCCUACGGGAGGCAGCAGUGAGGAAUAUUGGUCAAUGGGCGAGAGCCUGAACCAGCCAAGUAGCGUGCAGGAUGACGGCCCUAUGGGUUGUAAACUGCUUUUAUACAGGAAUAAAGUUAGCCACGUGUGGUUAUUUGUAGGUACUGUAUGAAUAAGGACCGGCUAAUUCCGUGCCAGCAGCCGCGGUAAUACGGAAGGUCCAGGCGUUAUCCGGAUUUAUUGGGUUUAAAGGGAGCGUAGGCCGUCUGUUAAGCGUGUUGUGAAAUGUAGAUGCUCAACAUCUGAAUUGCAGCGCGAACUGGCAGACUUGAGUGUGCGCAACGUAGGCGGAAUUCGUGGUGUAGCGGUGAAAUGCUUAGAUAUCACGAAGAACUCCGAUUG
rnacentral:rRNA from 1 species